rnacentral:rRNA from 1 species
GCCAGCAGCCGCGGUAAUACAUAAGGAGCAAGCGUUAUCCGGAAUUAUUGGGCGUAAAGAGCUCGUAGGCGGUCUUAAAAGUCAGGUGUGAAAUCAUCAGGCUCAACCUGAUAAGGUCAUCUGAAACUUUAAGACUUGAGGAUAGAAGAGGAAAGUGGAAUUCCCGGUGUAGCGGUGAAAUGCGUAGAUAUCGGGAGGAAUACCAGUGGCGAAGGCGGCUUUCUGGUCUAUUUCUGACGCUGAGGAGCGAAAGCUAGGGGAGCAAACGGGAUUAGAUACCCCGGUAGUCCUAGCUGUAAACGAUGGAUACUAGGUGUGGGAGGUAUCGACCCCUUCUGUGCCGCAGCUAACGCAUUAAGUAUCCCCCCUGGGGAGUACGGGCGCAAGGCUGAAACUCAAAGGAAUUGACCGGGGCC